UCAGGGAGGUUGAGACUGCAAUGAGCUGUGUUCACACCACUGCACUGCGGCCUGGGUGACAAAGUGAGACCCUGUCACACACACAGAAAAAGAGAAUGUGGGCUUCAAAGCUGAAUUCAAGUAAGUCAGGGUUCUUCCACUUGUAAUGAACAACUUCCUUAACCUCAUUGUCUCAGGUUCCUCGCCUGAGAAAUGCGAGGAGAACGGCGCCUGCUGGUGGCGUGGGCUUGCCGAUGAAAUGAGCCAUUCACCCAUGCCUCUCAGCACAGGGCCUGCCCUGGGCCGCAUACUGUGCAUUGUCAGCUGCUGUCGGAGCUGGGCUAGCGGCCGCCUUGAGAGCCAGCAGUCCACGGGGGUUGGCGAGCUUCUGGGAGGAAAGGGUGGAACGUGACUGUCAGGUACAGAGCUACAGAGAACCCCAGCAUGAAGGAGUAGGUGGCAGGGGAGAAGGACUCAACAGAGAUGGAGAAAGACUAAGCCCAAAGGUGAUCAACAACAAGAGUGAAGGAGGAAGUGGUCAGCUGUGGCUGGGGCAAAACAAGCCCAGUAAGUUACAUUGGCCUGUGUUUGGUCAUCCAGGGACAAAGUGACCUUUUUAGUGCCUGUAGGCCCAGCGCGUUGGGGAAGAAUUUAGAAUGCAGUGGGGAUAGGUGUGAGAGGAGCGGGGGAAGUGAAGAUUGAGUUGAGACCACUGGCUGGAGAACUUGACCGGGAAGGGAGGGCAGAGAGCAGCAUGGGGUGAGGGGAGGGAAUGGAUCCAACGAGCGUCUUAGGAUGAGGGAGUUGUGAGCGCUCAACACCAUUACAAAGAAGGGAUCGGGGAUUGAUAGACUGACAGAUGCAUGCACAGAGGCAGGUAUGGAUGCAUGCACAGAGGCAGGGAUGGAUGGACGGACAAAUGCAUGCAUAGAGGCAAGGAUGGAUGGAUGGACAGAUGCAUGCACAGAGUCAGGGAUGGAUGAAUGGACAGAUGCAUGCACAGAGGCAGGGAUGAAUGGACGGACAGAUGCAUGCACAGAGGCAGGGAUGGAUGGACGGACAGAUGCAUGCACAGAGGCGGGGAUGGAUGGACAGAUGCAUGCACAGAGGUGGGGAUGGAUGGAUGGACAGAUGCAUACACAGAGGCAGGGAUGAAUGGACAGAUGCAUGCACAGAGGCAGGGAUGGAUGGAUGGACAGAUGCAUGCACAGAGGCAGGGAUGAAUGGACAGAUGCAUGCACAGAGGCAGGGAUGGAUGGAUGGACAGAUGCAUGCACAGAGGCAGGGAUGAAUGGACAGAUGCAUGCACAGAGGCAGGGAUGGAUGGACAGAUGCAUGCACAGAGGCGGGGAUGGAUGGAUGGACAGAUGCAUGCACAGAGGCAGGGAUGAAUGGACAGAUGCAUGCACAGAGGCGGGGAUG
rnacentral:lncRNA from 1 species